rnacentral:rRNA from 1 species
UACGAAGGGGGCUAGCGUUGCUCGGAAUCACUGGGCGUAAAGCGCACGUAGGCGGCUUUCUAAGUCAGGGGUGAAAUCCUGGAGCUCAACCUCCAGAACUGCCUUUGAUACUGGAGAGCUUGAGUCCGGAAGAGGUGAGUGGAACUCCGAGUGUAGAGGUGAAAUUCGUAGAUAUUCGGAAGAACACCAGUGGCGAAGGCGGCUCACUGGUCCGGUACUGACGCUGAGGUGCGAAAGCGUGGGGAGCAAACAGG